rnacentral:rRNA from 1 species
UGCCAGCCGCCGCGGUAAUACGUAGGGGGCGAGCGUUAUCCGGAAUCAUUGGGCGUAAAGGGUGUGUAGGCGGUUUGUUAAGCGAGAGGUGAAAGGCUAUGGCUCAACCAUAGUAAGCCUUUCGAACUGGCGAACUUGAGUGCAGGAGAGGAGAGCGGAAUUCCUAGUGUAGCGGUGAAAUGCGUAGAUAUUAGGAGGAACACCGGUGGCGAAGGCGACUCCCUGGACUAUUACUGACACUGAGGAGCGAAAGCGUGGGGAGCAAACAGGAUUAGAUA